AUUCAUAUCAUUCCCCCUCGAUAAAAAGAGCCGCCUUCAACUUUUUAAUUCACAGACUCCUCAACAUACCUCUGUCAGCCGAGGACUACAAGAAGGAAAUAAAUAUGAUAUAUCAAAUAGGCAACGACAACCAGUAUACAAGAGAAUACAUUGACCAAAUUCUCACUUCUAUAAAGAGAAAACAACUUUUGAAGAAAAUUUACCCCCACAUUGCAAUUAAGAAACACUUCAUAAGUAUACCAUAUUACGAAGACUUACACCAGCAUACCCAACAGAUUAUGAAUAAAUACGAUUACACCAUAAUGAAUAGCCGACAUAGAACCCUAGAAAAUUUAUUACUGAAUAACAAAAAUAAGAAAAAACCAGAAGAACAGAGUGGAGUAUACAAUAUUAACUGCUCAGACUGUCCUGCAUUCUAUAUCGGUAUGACGACACGUAACAUGAAAAAGCGAUUCAAUGAACACCAAAAAAAUCAACCUAGAUCUGCACUAGGAAACCACCUGAAUGAAUCAAAUCAUAACACAAAAUUUGAAAAUUUAAAGAUCCUACAUAAAGAAAGUAAUUACUAUAAAUUAACACUAUUAGAACAGCACGAAAUUUUAAAAAACAAAGAUAGUCAACAUUUACUAAACGAAAUGUCUGAUUUCACCAUACGCGACAAUAGUAUUUUCAAAUUAAUAAAUUCCCGCCAAUAAUUGUUCCAAAGAUAGACAUAUGCCAUACUACGUAAACAGACUUCCUCACUUUCGUCUAAUCUAAAAUCAACACAACCACGCAAGAAAAAUUCUUCGAAGAAUAUAAUUGAUAUUUAUUGUCAAAAUAAAAACUUUAAAUUGCAUAUUGAAGAUCAAAUCGAUGAAUAUAUACUAUCUAUCAUACGUAUAAUCCACCUCAAUGUACGCUGGCCUGAUGAUGGUUAAUAUACCGAAAUCGAUUGCCAAAGAUUAAAUAAUUCAUUUCAACAGUGUGUUUUUAUCGUUCUUGAAAUUAUGACUAAACAUACUAUGGAAACAUUUAUCAACAAAA